UGAGUGAUGAUUGAACAAAGUCAUUGACCCAAUGCCGAUUUUACUGGCGAUUGCGUGGUGACAAAUCAGGUGUAAUAUAUAGCCUGCUUUUUUCAUAGUGAAUACAUUGAAGAACAGACACCAUGACCCCAAGCUUGCUUCAAAAUAGGCUCCACCCGUGCCUUAACAUGAGAAGUUUUCAAAUCAUUUGACCAUUGUCGAAGAGACUGAUGAAAUUUCUUAAGUGCUCAAGAAGCAAUGCAGUCACUGUCAAGGAAACAAAGCCAGAAUUGUGUAAAAAUUUGAAAAAUAAAUGCAGGAUUAAUG